AGAUCUUUAAUGAACAUAUCUGUGUUUCAUUCAGUUUUGGCCACUGCUUCUCGAGACAGUGAAAUGAAGAUUGAAAAGACAAAGAGAAUUACAGAAGUGAGGGAAAGGAGGUUGACAUACAAGGAUAAAUUGACAGAUAGGAUAAAAAAGUGAGUUAACUACUUCACUGCAGUUCUUGAUGGCCAUACAAAGGAUUGAUAUAACAGGUGUCUGAAAGCUGAAGUCUGGCUAAUGAGAAUGGUUACCAGAAAACUGAAGAUGAAGAAGAUGACUGCAAACUAUGAACCAGACAUGGAACAUACAGGUAAAGAUGAUCUCUAUCUACUAUCAAUGCAUUUUUCCAUUGCUGCUCACUGGAUUUAA